AAGAUGCAUUAGGAAAGGGGUUAUCCCUGCCAACCUGCAUACCGUGCGAAGGUGGUAAUAUAUGCGGCCAAAAGGCAAAAAUUAGGUCUCA
ncrna:unclassified sequences SAM-I/IV variant riboswitch